UACGUAGGGAGCAAGCGUUGUCCGGAAUUAUUGGGCGUAAAGAGCUCGUAGGCGGUUUGUUGCGUCGGCUGUGAAAUCCCGAGGCUCAACCUCGGGUCUGCAGUCGAUACGAGCAAACUAGAGUGUUGCAGGGGAGACUGGAAUUCCUGGUGUAGCGGUGAAAUGCGCAGAUAUCAGGAGGAACACCGGUGGCGAAGGCGGGUCUCUGGGCGAACAA
rnacentral:rRNA from 1 species